rnacentral:sRNA from 1 species
CCUUGAGCAUGGACAGCCUGGAUCUGCUGGGUGAAGGGAGAAGUUAUGUCCAGGGUGGGACAGAGAGGAUGGCGAGAGAUUUCCUCACUGCUCAGAACAGUGGGAAAUUCAAAACUUAGGGAUUAUUUCUGAAAUUUUCCAUUUAAAAAUUUCCAUUUAUAAUUGACCAAGGGUAACUGAAACCAGAGAAAGCAAGACUGAGGAUAAGGGAGGGGCCUCCUGUACUCCAAGAGCACUGAAUCCGGAAAAACUCAACACAUUGAUGGAGUCAUAUAUUUAAUUUUUUCUUAAAAGCCACCUGCGGGAUAUUGUAGAAACACUGCGCUGCCAAUCACAGCUUGUGAUGUGACACAUUCAUUCUGCAAGUUUAAACUUCCCCUAGCAAAGAGCUCCUGGGAAGGUGCUGCUGGAUGCAGUUUGCAACCACCUCAACCUCGUGGAAGGUGACUAUUUUGGCCUCGAGUUUCCUGAUCACAAAAAGAUCACGGUGUGGCUGGAUCUCCUAAAACCCAUUGUGAAACAGAUCAGAAGGCCAAAGCAUGUUGUUGUUAAGUUUGUGGUGAAAUUCUUUCCGCCUGACCACACACAACUCCAAGAAGAACUCACAAGGUACCUGUUCGCGCUGCAGGUGAAGCAGGACUUGGCUCAAGGCAGGUUGACGUGUAACGACACCAGCGCAGCUCUCUUGAUUUCACACAUUGUGCAAUCUGAGAUUGGGGAUUUUGAUGAAGCCUUGGACAGAGAGCACUUAGCAAAAAAUAAAUACAUACCUCAGCAAGACGCACUAGAGGACAAAAUCGUGGAAUUUCA